UGAGGCUCCUGGGACCAACCAUAGGUUAAAGAAAAACCAUCUGGUGCUGAGAAUCCAAAGGCAGCGGGAAAUCCUCAACAGGAACUGGAGAGGUUGGAGAAAUAAUAGAGCAGAAGCCACCUGGAAGCAGGGGCCCAAACAACAGGGCAGGUUGUUAGCUGCAUUGCACAUAGAAGGGUAGAAGAGGAAGAAUGAUUUUACUUCUUGACAAAGAAGAAGAAGGAAAGACGUCUGCAGGAUGAAGGCUCUCAGGACUGCCCAAUCUGAUGGAAGAAAUUGCCUUCCUAGACUUGCCAGCAUCUCUGGGAACUGUCUUGAACUCCAUAUCAGAGAUAUGUAGAGGAGGAAACACACAAGUUCUCUUUCAAACACAUUAAGUUGGAGGUGUCUGUUGAAUCGGUAGGUGGAGAUGUCUUCUGGGUUGGAUAUACAGGUCUAUAGCUUUGGAAGAACUCUGGGUGGAGAUUAGGAAGUCGUCUGAAUUGAAUGAAUUUCACUCAAGCAAAUAACUUUCUUCCAGGUAUUCCCAGUCCCACUUCCCUUCGUCAACUCAAUUUAACACAUGCCGACUGUUAGGCCCUAUUUUCUUUCAGAGAAUCUUAGGCUAGCUGGAAAUACUGUUCUUCCACUUGGCUCAUCCACUCUUGCUUGGACUCCUUCCAUUCCUGCCCAGGUAUUACAGAAUAUAGAAUCCACGUGGAACUAUGAAAUUCUGUUUUCUAAGCCAUG